rnacentral:rRNA from 1 species
AUUGAACGCUGGCGGCAUGCUUUACACAUGCAAGUCGAACGGCAGCGCGGGCUUCGGCCUGGCGGCGAGUGGCGAACGGGUGAGUAAUACAUCGGAACGUGCCCAGUAGUGGGGGAUAGCUCGGCGAAAGCCGGAUUAAUACCGCAUACGACCUGAGGGUGAAAGCGGGGGAUCUUCGGACCUCGCGCUAUUGGAGCGGCCGAUGGCAGAUUAGCUAGUUGGUGGGGUAAAGGCCUACCAAGGCGACGAUCUGUAGCUGGUCUGAGAGGACGACCAGCCAACGUGGGAUGGAGAACCGGCCCAGACCCCUACGGGAGGCAGAAGUGGGAAAUUUUGGAAAAGGGGGGAAAGCCUGACCAGCAAAGGCCGGGGUGGGAAGGAAGGCCUGCGGGUUGUAAAGCACUUUUGGCGGGAACGAAAAGGACUGGCCAAAAACCCCGGUUCAAGAACGGAACCGGAAAAAAAAGACCGGGCAAAUUCGGG